rnacentral:rRNA from 1 species
GGGAUUGGAAAUAGCAAUAUUACCAUGAGAGUGGCGCACGGGUGCGUAACACGUAUGCAAUCUGCCCCUAACUGGAAGAUAGCCCGGCGAAAGUCGGAUUAAUAUUCCAUAACAUUGCGAAACGGCAUCGUUUUGUAAUUAAAGCUCCGGCGGUUAGGGAUGAGCAUGCGCGACAUUAGCUAGAUGGCGAGGUAACGGCUCACCAUGGCUACGAUGUCUAGGGGGUCUGAGAGGAUUAUCCCCCACACUGGUACUGAGACACGGACCAGACUCCUACGGGAGGCAGCAGUAGGGAAUAUUGGGCAAUGGACGCAAGUCUGACCCAGCCAUGCCGCGUGCAGGAUGACGGCCCUAUGGGUUGUAAACUGCUUUUGUACAGGAAGAAACCCCUUUACGUGUAGAGGGCUGACAUUACUGUAAGAAUAAGGAUCGGCUAACUCCGUGCCAGCAGCCGCGGUAAUACGGAGGAUCCAAGCGUUGUCCGGAUUUAUUGGGUUUAAAGGGUGCGUAGGCGGACCAUUAAGUCAGAGGUGAAAGUUUGCAGCUUAACUGUAAAAUUGCCUUUGAAACUGGUGGUCUUGAGUACAGUUGAGGUGGGCGGAAUGUGUCAUGUAGCGGUGAAAUGCUUAGAUAUGAUACAGAACACCGAUUGCGAAGGCAGCUCACUAAACUGUAACUGACGCUGAGGCACGAAAGCGUGGGGAGCGAACAGGAUUAGAUACCCUGGUAGUCCACGCCCUAAACGUUGAAUACUCGUUGUUGGCGAUAUACAGUCAGCGACUAAGCGAAAGCAUUAAGUAUUCCACCUGGGGGAGUACGACCGCAAGGUUGAAACUCAAAGGAAUUGACGGGGGCCCGCACAAGCGGAGGAGUAUGUGGUUUAAUUUCGAUGAUACGCGAGGAAACCUUACCUGGGCUUGAAAGUUAGCGACCGCUGCCGAAAGGUGGCUUCCCUUCGGGCGCGAAACUAGUGCUGCAUGG